rnacentral:rRNA from 1 species
CCUACGGGUGGCUGCAGUGGGGAAUAUUGCACAAUGGGGGAAACCCUGAUGCAGCGACGCCGCGUGAAGGAAGACGUAUUUCGGUAUGUAACCUUCUAUCAGCAGGGAAGAAAAUGACGGUACCUGACUAAGAAGCUCCGGCUAACUACGUUCCAGCAGCCGCGGUAAUACGUAGGGGGCAAGCGUUAUCCGGAUUUACUGGGUGUAAAGGGAGCGUAGGCGGUUUAGCAAGUCAGAAGUGAAAGCCCGGGGCUCAACUCCGGGACUGCUUUGGAAACUGUUGCACUAGAUUGCAGUGGAGGUAAGUGGAAUUCCUAGUGUAGCGGUGAAAUGCGGAGAUAUUAGGAGGAACACCAGUGGCGAAGGCGGCCUACUGGACGGUGACUGACGCUGAGGCUCGAAAGCGUGGGGAGCAAACAGGAUUAGAUACCCCAGUAGUC